rnacentral:rRNA from 1 species
GAAUCUGCCUAUUAGUGGGGGACAACAUCUCGAAAGGGAUGCUAAUACCGCAUACGUCCUACGGGAGAAAGCAGGGGAUCACUUGUGACCUUGCGCUAAUAGAUGAGCCUAAGUCGGAUUAGCUAGUUGGUGGGGUAAAGGCCUACCAAGGCGACGAUCUGUAGCGGGUCUGAGAGGAUGAUCCGCCACACUGGGACUGAGACACGGCCCAGACUCCUACGGGAGGCAGCAGUGGGGAAUAUUGGACAAUGGGGGGAACCCUGAUCCAGCCAUGCCGCGUGUGUGAAGAAGGCCUUAUGGUUGUAAAGCACUUUAAGCGAGGAGGAGGCUCUUUUGGUUAAUACCCAAAAUGAGUGGACGUUACUCGCAGAAUAAGCACCGGCUAACUCUGUGCCAGCAGCCGCGGUAAUACAGAGGGUGCAAGCGUUAAUCGGAUUUACUGGGCGUAAAGCGCGCGUAGGCGGCCAAUUAAGUCAAAUGUGAAAUCCCCGAGCUUAACUUGGGAAUUGCAUUCGAUACUGGUUGGCUAGAGUGUGGGAGAGGAUGGUAGAAUUCCAGGUGUAGCGGUGAAAUGCGUAGAGAUCUGGAGGAAUACCGAUGGCGAAGGCAGCCAUCUGGCCUAACACUGACGCUGAGUGCGAAAGCAUGGGGAGCAAACAGGAUUAGAUACCCUGGUAGUCCAUGCCGUAAACGAUGUCUACUAGCCGUUGGGGCCUUUGAGGCUUUAGUGGCGCAGCUAACGCGAUAAGU